ACUCUUAAGAAAAAAGGUUCUUCAAAGGUUCUGAAACGAUGGUAAAGGUUCUAUAUAGAACCAUAGCUUACUGAAGAACCAUUUUUUGCUGAAAUGGUUCUUUGUCUUGGCAAAAGGGUUCUUUAUUUCCCUCUAUUUUUAAUUUUAAAUUUAGUCAGUUAUUUUCAAGCUGCCUCCUGAUUAUUUUCACCUGUAAAAGCCCUGAAUCAUCAGUCCUGCUGAACCGCCUGCAGACUAACAUCACAAACAGGUAAGAGAGGAAAAUAAUCAUCAUUUACUGUUAAAAACAUUUUGAAAAUUGAAGUUUUGUGUGUUCUUAUUGUAAUUUAUUUAUUUUAUAACAGGUAAACUUUAUACUGUAAGCUUCAUUCCCUUUAAAGCAGGUAAGCUUCAUACUGUUUUAAAUGAUAGGAGACUCUGCUUUAACAAUGACUUAGGAUAAUGAUUUGUUAAAGUGUUUAAAAGCAUAUACAUGUAUAUUUUACAUUAAGUUUAUUAAACUAAUUAUGAAAAGAAUGUGGUACAACAUGUGUUUAGUUUUUUUAUUGAUAUUUCAGAGUUUUUAUAUGUGAGGUAAUCUUGCUGGGAGUGAAGGCAGUGCGUAUGACCGCUUGAUAUGAGAGACACAUUCUAUUUUUAAAGGUCAACAUACUGUAAGCUUCAUUCCCUUCAAAGCAGAGUUUUCAUAUGUGAGGUAAUCUUACUGGGAGUGAAGGCAGUGCGUAUGACUGCUUGAUAUGAAAGACACAUCCUGUUUUAAAAGGUGAUGUAUGCAUGUUACUUUCAAUGCUGGCAUUAAAAUAAUAG